AAAUUGAAGAGUUUGAUCAUGGCUCAGAUUGAACGCUGGCGGCAGGCCUAACACAUGCAAGUCGAACGGUAGCACAGAGAGCUUGCUCUCGGGUGACGAGUGGCGGACGGGUGAGUAAUGUCUGGGAAACUGCCUGAUGGAGGGGGAUAACUACUGGAAACGGUGGCUAAUACCGCAUAACGUCGCAAGACCAAAGAGGGGGACCUUCGGGCCUCUUGCCAUCAGAUGUGCCCAGAUGGGAUUAGCUGGUUGGUGAGGUAACGGCUCACCAAGGCGACGAUCCCUAGCUGGUCUGA
rnacentral:rRNA from 1 species